GUGAGGAAUUUUCCGCAAUGGGCGAAAGCCUGACGGAGCAAUGCCGCGUGAAGGAUGAAGGCCUAUGGGUUGUAAACUUCUUUUCUCAGAAAAGAAUUAUGACGGUAUCUGAGGAAUAAGCAUCGGCUAACUCUGUGCCAGCAGCCGCGGUAAGACAGAGGAUGCAAGCGUUAUCCGGAAUGAUUGGGCGUAAAGCGUCUGUAGGUUGUUUAAAAAGUAUUCUGUCAAAGAUUAGGGCUUAACCCUAGAUAGGCAGAAUAAACUUUUAAGCUAGAGGUUGGUAGAGGCAGAGGGAAUUCCCGGUGGAGCGGUGAAAUGAGUAGAUAUCGGGAGGAACACCAAAGACGAAGGCACUCUGCUGGACCACUACUAACACUGAGAGACGAAAGCGAGGGGAGCAAAUGGGAUUAGAAACCCUGGUAGUCC
rnacentral:rRNA from 1 species